rnacentral:rRNA from 1 species
GACAGAGGGUGCAAACGUUGUUCGGAAUUACUGGGCGUAAAGCGCGUGUAGGCUGCUCGGAAAGUCGGAUGUGAAAGCCCUCGGCUUAACUGAGGAAGUGCACCCGAAACUGAGUAGCUAGAGUACGAAAGAGGGUCGCGGAAUUCCCGGUGUAGAGGUGAAAUUCGUAGAUAUCGGGAGGAACACCGGUGGCGAAGGCGGCGACCUGGGUCGAGACUGACGCUGAGGCGCGAAAGCGUGGGGAGCGAACAGG